rnacentral:rRNA from 1 species
CUUGGUCAUUUAGAGGAAGUAAAAGUCGUAACAAGGUCUCCGUAGGUGAACCUGCGGAGGGAUCAUUACAGAGUUCAUGCCCUCCGGGUAGAUCUCCCACCCACUGCUAUCACUACUCUCGUUGCUUUGGCGGGCCGCUGGGCCCUGCCCGGCCGCCGGCCCCGGCUGGCGCGUGCCCGCCAGAGACCUCACAGACUCUGAAUGUUAGUGUCGUCCGAGUAACUAUACAAUCGUUAAAACUUUCAACAACGGAUCUCUUGGUUCUGGCAUCGAUGAAGAACGCAGCGAAAUGCGAUAAGUAAUGUGAAUUGCAGAAUUCAGUGAAUCAUCGAAUCUUUGAACGCACAUUGCGCUCCUUGGUAUUCCGAGGGGCAUGCCUGUUCGAGCGUCAUUAUAACCACUCAAGCCUAGCUUGGUAUUGGGGUUCGCGGGUCCGCGGCCCUUAAAAUCAGUGGCGGUGCCAUUCGGCUCUAAGCGUAGUAAUUCUCUCGCUACAGGGUCCGAGUGGUUGCUUGCCAAAACCACCUAUUUUCUUAGAUUGACCUCGGAUCAGGUAGGGAUACCCGCUGAACUUAAGCAUAUCAAUAAGCGGAGGAA